GACGGAGGGCGCAAGCGUUGUUCGGAAUUACUGGGCGUAAAGCGCGCGCAGGCGGGAAGGUAAGUCUGGGGUGAAAUUCCGGGGCUCAACUCCGGAGCUGCUUUGGAUACUGUCUUUCUAGGGACCGGUAGAGGCCGGUGGAAUUCCCGGUGUAGCGGUGGAAUGCGCAGAUAUCGGGAGGAGCACCAGUAGCGAAGGCGGCACUCUGGGCCGGUACUGACGCUGAGGAGCGAAAGCGUGGGGAGCGAACAGG
rnacentral:rRNA from 1 species